rnacentral:rRNA from 1 species
AUGAACAGGAGCGUGUGCCACCACCUGCUCGCCCAGUGCAGAUCCCUGCGAGAGCUCGAGAGAAUCCACGCCCGGGCCGUCACCCAUGGCCUCCACCCGUGUAACCAGUCCAUCUCGUGUAAGCUCUUCCGGUGCUACGCCGACUUCGGCCGCCCCGCCGAGGCGCGCCGGCUGUUCGGCGAGAUCCCCUGCCCGGACCUCGUCUCCUUCACCAGCCUCAUGUCGCUCCACCUCCAGCUAAACCAGCACCAUGAGGCCAUGUUCACGUUCUCGCGCGCCAUCGCCUCCGGUCACCGCCCUGAUGGCUUUGUGGUUGUCGGCGCUCUCUCGGCGUCUGGCGGGGCUGGGGAUCUUUGUGCUGGUUUGGGGGUGCAUGGCCUGAUUUUCCGUUGCGGGUUGGGCUCAGAGUUGGUCGUCGGCAAUGCUCUGGUUGAUAUGUAUUGCCGGUGCGGGAGGUUUGAGGGCGCGCUAGGGGUGUUUGAUGAAAUGGCGGUGAAAGACGAGGUCACCUGGGGCAGCAUGCUGCAUGGGUAUAUGAAGUGUGUCGGUGUGGACUCAGCGUUGUCCUUCUUUGACCGGAUGCCGGUGAAGAGCAUGGUUUCCUGGACGGCGUUGGUGACCGGCCAUGUUCAGGCCAAGCAGCCUAUCCGAGCUCUAGAAAUUUUUGGUAGGAUGGUGCUGGAAGGUCACCGCCCCACACAUGUUACAAUUGUAGGUGUGCUGUCUGCUUGCGCUGACAUUGGCUCUCUAGAUCUUGGGCGUGUCAUUCAUGGGUAUGGAAGUAAAUUCAAUAUCAGCACAAAUAUAAUUGUUAGCAAUGCUCUGAUGGACAUGUAUGCAAAGAGUGGAAGUAUAGAGAUGGCAUUUGCCGUGUUCGAAGAAGUGCCCUUGAAGGACGCAUUCACAUGGACAACCAUGAUCUCGAGCUUCACUGUCCAGGGUGAUGGGAUAAAAGCUCUUGAGCUCUUUGAGGACAUGCUAAGGUCUGGGAUUGUUCCAAAUAGUGUCACCUUUGUGUCUGUUUUGUCAGCCUGCAGCCAUGCUGGGUUAAUACAGCAAGGCAGAGAGUUAUUUGAUAAAAUGCGUAGGAUCUACAACAUUAAACCGCAGCUUGAGCACUAUGGAUGCAUUGUUGAUUUGUUAGGACGGGGUGGGCUACUAGAGGAAGCAGAAGCCCUGAUAUAUGAUAUGGAUGUGGAACCUGAUACUGUUAUAUGGAGGUCACUUCUUAGUGCAUGCCUAGUUCAUGGCAAUGAUAGAUUGGCUGAGAUUGCUGGGCAGGAGAUUAUAAAGAGAGAACCAGGGGAUGAUGGGGUUUAUGUGCUUCUUUGGAACAUAUACGCCUCAUCAGAUAGGUGGAAACAAGCUCUGGAUAUAAGAAAACAAAUGCUGACAAGGAAGAUCUUCAAAAAACCAGGGUGUAGUUGGAUUGAAGUCGAUGGUGGUGUCCAUGAAUUCUUGGUACAGGACAAGGCACAUGAUGCUCGAAGGGAAAUUUAUGACACCUUGGAAGGAAUUGAUAGGCAGUUAAAGAUGGAUCUUAGAUCAUCCCCACUGGAAGAGAACUCAUUAAUCUGUGUGGAUGAGGAACUCUUAUUC